rnacentral:miRNA from 1 species
AGGGGGGGGGGGGCAAAAUGGGGGGGGGCAAAUGCCCCCCAUUUUGCCCCCCCCCCUCAAAAAAAUUUAU